rnacentral:rRNA from 1 species
AGAGUUUGAUCCUGGCUCAGGACGAACGCUGGCGGCGUGCUUAACACAUGCAAGUCGAACGGGAUUUAGUAAACAGAAACCUCGGUGGAAGAUUACUAAUGAGAGUGGCGAACGGGUGAGUAACGCGUGAGCAACCUGCCUAUGACAGUGGGAUAGCCUCGGGAAACCGGGAUUAAUACCGCAUAAAAUCGUAGAAACACAUGUUUUAACGGUCAAAGAUUUAUCGGUCAUAGAUGGGCUCGCGUCUGAUUAGCUAGUUGGUGAGAUAACAGCCCACCAAGGCGACGAUCAGUAGCCGGUCUGAGAGGAUGAACGGCCACAUUGGAACUGAGACACGGUCCAAACUCCUACGGGAGGCAGCAGUGGGGAAUAUUGCACAAUGGGGGAAACCCUGAUGCAGCGACGCCGCGUGAACGAAGAAGGUAUUCGUAUCGUAAAGUUCUGUCCUAUGGGAAGAUAAUGACAGCACCAUAGAAGAAAGCUCCGGCUAAAUACGUG